rnacentral:rRNA from 1 species
UACGUAGGGUGCGAGCGUUGUCCGGAAUUAUUGGGCGUAAAGAGCUUGUAGGCGGUUUGUCGCGUCUGCUGUGAAAUUUCGGGGCUCAACCCCGAACUUGCAGUGGGUACGGGCAGACUAGAGUGUGGUAGGGGAGACUGGAAUUCCUGGUGUAGCGGUGAAAUGCGCAGAUAUCAGGAGGAACACCGAUGGCGAAGGCAGGUCUCUGGGCCACUACUGACGCUGAGGAGCGAAAGCGUGGGGAGCAAACGGG